CAGGUCACUCCUACGGGAGGCAGCAGUGGGGAAUUUUGGACAAUGGGGGCAACCCUGAUCCAGCCAUGCCGCGUGUGUGAAGAAGGCCUUCGGGUUGUAAAGCUCUUUUGUCCGGAACGAAACGGUUGCAGUGAACAGCCGCGACUACUGACGGUACCGAGAGAAGAAGCCCCGGCUAACUCCGUGCCAGCAGCCGCGGUAAUACGGGGGGGGCAAGCGUUGUUCGGAAUUACUGGGCGUAAAGGGCUCGUAGGCGGCCAACUAAGUCAGACGUGAAAUCCCUCGGCUUAACCUGGGAACUGCUUCCGAGACUGCACGACUAGAGAUCGGUAGAGGGCGGUGGAAUUUCCGGUGUAGCGGUGAAAUGCGUAGAGAUGUGGAGGAACACCUGUGGCGAAGGCGGCCCCCUGGUUGGAUACUGACGCUGAGACGCGAAAGCGUGGGGAGCAAACAGGAUUAGAUACCCUGGUAGUCCACGCUGUAAACGAUGGGCACUAGGUGUCCGGGGUAUUGACCCCCUGGGUGCCGCAGCUAACGCAUUAAGUGCCCCGCCUGGGGAGUACGGUCGCAAGAUUAAAACUUAAAGGAAUUGACG
rnacentral:rRNA from 1 species